rnacentral:misc_RNA from 1 species
AUGAGCUCAAAUAUUCUGAUCAUUGAUUUUUGAAAUAGGGAUGGAGCCACCCCGAGACCAAAUGGCAUUACAAUCCAUUGCUACUGGGCAUUUAGAAUACAGAAUGCAAUUUAUGGACUAUUUGGAAGUUCAAUAUUUAUUUGCCAGAAGCCUACUUUUAUAUCAAAUUUGGAAAAUAUAUUAGCCUCAUUGAGAUAGGUAAAUAAAGAGCUUAUUUUUGGGAGAGGGAACUUAUCAUCUUUAAGAAAAUUAUUCAAAGGCUUAUAGUUAAUGAUAGCCUUUUAUUUCCUCUUAUCUUCUCAAGUUUUUGCUCCACAUAAAAAGCUUGGCAUAUCCAAUCUGAAUUUGUAAGUUCAAUCAAGCCUUACUAGAGUAACUGUUAACAUUCUGUUUG